UUCCAGGUGGCUCAGUGGUAAAGAACCUGCCUGCCAAGCAGGAGACACAGGUUCGAUCCCUGAGUUGGGAA
rnacentral:tRNA from 1 species